rnacentral:rRNA from 1 species
AUUGAACGCUGGCGGCAGGCCUAACACAUGCAAGUCGGACGAGUGGCGGACGGGUGAGUAAUGUAUGGGGAACUGCCUGAUGGAGGGGGAUAACUACUGGAAACGGUAGCUAAUACCGCAUACCAUCAGAUGUACCCAGAUGGGAUUAGCUUGUUGGUGAGGUAACGGCUCACCAAGGCGACGAUCCCUAGCUGGUCUGCGAGGAUGACCAGCCACACUGGGACGGAGACACGGCCCAGACUCCUACGGGAGGCAGCAGUGGGGAAUAUUGCACAAUGGGCGCAAGCAUGAUGCAGCCAUGCCGCGUGUAUGAAGAAGGUCUUCGGGUUGUAAAGUACUUUCAGGGGGGAGGCGUUACCCGCAGAAGAAGCACCGGCUAACUCCGUGCCAGCAGCCGCGGUAAUAC